rnacentral:rRNA from 1 species
UGGGGAAUUUUGGACAAUGGGGGCAACCCUGAUCCAGCAAUGCCGCGUGUGUGAAGAAGGCCUUCGGGUUGUAAAGCACUUUUGUCCGGAAAGAAAACGCCGUGGUUAAUACCCGUGGCGGAUGACGGUACCGGAAGAAUAAGCACCGGCUAACUACGUGCCAGCAGCCGCGGUAAUACGUAGGGUGCAAGCGUUAAUCGGAAUUACUGGGCGUAAAGCGUGCGCAGGCGGUCCGCUAAGACAGAUGUGAAAUCCCCGGGCUUAACCUGGGAACUGCAUUUGUGACUGGCGGGCUAGAGUAUGGCAGAGGGGGGUAGAAUUCCACGUGUAGCAGUGAAAUGCGUAGAGAUGUGGAGGAAUACCGAUGGCGAAGGCAGCCCCCUGGGCCAAUACUGACGCUCAUGCACGAAAGCGUGGGGGAGCAAACAGGAUUCAGAUACCCUGGUAGUCCACGCCCUAAACGAUGUCAACUAGUUGUCGGUCUUCAUUGACUUGGUAACGUAGCUAACGCGUGAAGUUGACCGCCUGGGGAGUACGGUCGCAAGAUUAAAACUUAAAUGAAUUGACGGGGUC